rnacentral:tRNA from 1 species
GUGCCUGUAGCUCAGUUGAAUAGAGCGUCGGUUUCCGAAGCCGGAGGUCAUGGGUUUGACUCCCAUCAGGCAUA